UACGUAGGGUGCGAGCGUUAAUCGGAAUUACUGGGCGUAAAGCGUGCGCAGGCGGUUCGUUGUGUCUGAUGUGAAAGCCCCGGGCUCAACCUGGGAAUGGCAUUGGAAACUGGCGAGCUAGAGUGUGGCAGAGGGGGGUGGAAUUCCGCGUGUAGCAGUGAAAUGCGUAGAGAUGCGGAGGAACACCGAUGGCGAAGGCAGCCCCCUGGGCUGACACUGACGCUCAGGCACGAAAGCGUGGGGAGCAGACAGG
rnacentral:rRNA from 1 species